rnacentral:lncRNA from 1 species
GCAAAAAAAUCCACCCAGAAAUAUCCCAAAAAUAGCAAAAAAAUCCACCCAGAAAUAGCAAAAAAAUCCACCCAAAAAUCCACCCAGAAAUAUCCCAGAAAUAGCCCAGAAAUAGCAAAAAAAUCCACCCAGAAAUAUCCCAAAAAUCCCAAAAAAUCCAUCCAGAAAUAUCCCAAAAAUAGCAAAAAAUCCAGCCAGAAAUAUCCCAAAAAUAGCAAAAAAUCCAUCCAGAAAUACCCCAAAAAUAGCAAAAAAUCCACCCAGAAAUAUCCCAAAAAUAGCAAAAAAACCCACUCAGGAACCAGCCAGAAAUACCCCAAAAACCCCUAAAAAUCCACCCAAAAAUCCCCCCAAAAUUCAGGGCUCCCCAA